rnacentral:rRNA from 1 species
GAUGAACGCUAGCUACAGGCUUAACACAUGCAAGUCGAGGGGCAGCAUGACGAUAGCUUGCUAUUGUUGAUGGCGACCGGCGCACGGGUGAGUAACGCGUAUCCAACCUUCCCGUUGCUAGGGGAUAACCUUGCGAAAGUAAGAUUAAUGCCCUAUGUGGUGUUUUGAGGACAUCUGAAGAGCACCAAAGGUUUACCGCUUAACGAUGGGGAUGCGUCUGAUUAGGUUGUUGGCGGGGCAACGGCCCACCAAGCCUACGAUCAGUAGGGGUUCUGAGAGGAAGGUCCCCCCACAUUGGAACUGAGACACGGUCCAAACUCCUACGGGAGGCAGCAGU